AAGGAAAGAGGACUGGUUUUAACGAAAUGGACAGGUGCUGAAGAAGGAUAGCCGAUAGGUUUUAUGUGAGGCUCUUUUGAAAUCAUUUUAAAGGAAAUUUACGAAAAAGAAAAAAGAUGGACUAGCUGAGUCUAACUUGGAUAUUUGCUGCAUAAAUAAAAUUUUUGGUCACACCAAGGAACAAAAAAAACGUUGAUGCAUUAACCAGGCCUUCUGUUAUACUUGCCAAACAAAAAGGAGGAACAUGUCAGACCCAAACACAAAUCUCAUCGUCAAUUAUCUUCCUCAAACACUGUCUGAUGAGGACUUUAAAGAGCUGUUUGAGAAGAUCGGGCCACUCAAAUCCUACAAAAUUGUCCGUGACAAGGCCACAAAUUACAGCUAUGGAUUUGGAUUUGUGGAUUACGUGAAUGAAGAGGAUGCAGAGCGGGCCAUCCAUGAAAUGAAUGGUCAGAAAAUGGACCACAAAACCAUUAAAGUGAGCUACGCAAGGAAAAACGACAGUGAAAGUAAAGGAGCCAAUAUCUACAUAGCAAAUAUACCCAGAUCUUUCGGGGAAGAGGAACUAGGAGCACAUUUCAGACAGUUUGGUGAAAUCAUUCAAGUGCGAUUGCUGAGGGACAAAUCCACCAAUGAAUCAAAGGGAGUUGGCUUUGUGUACUACACUAAGCGUUCAGAGGCUGCAGCAGCCCUGGAAGCCAUGAAUGGGAAAACUUUGUUGAAAGGUUAUCCAGCACUGUCCAUUAAGUUUGCCGAUAUAAAUGCUCGAAAAGGUCGGGCUCCGUACCAGAUCCAAGUCCAGACCAACCUCCGGUACCCCACCCCAGGCAGUAAUCCCUAUGGUGGGGGUCCUCAUGGACCAAUGAGAAGUACCAAUACUCGAAUGCGCUUCAAUCCAAUGAGUGGAAACUACUCCCCUGGGGUUGGGGGAGGAGGGGGAGGGGGAGGGGAUAUGGGAGGUCAAAUUCUGUUUGUGUACAACAUUGGAUACGAUGCUGAGGAGAAGACGCUGUGGCAGUUGUUUGCGCCACUAGGAACUGUGACUAAAGUCAAUGUUAUCAUGGAUCAUGUCAGAAAUCAGUGUAAGGGCUACGGCUUUGUCACCAUGAAGCAUCUACAUGAGGCUGAAGGAGCCAUCUUGGCACUCAAUGGGGCUAUGUACAACAAUAGACGAUUGUCAGUGUCUUUCAAAUCGUGACAGACCGGUCAAAGAUGUAGUAAAUGUCUUGCAAAUCUUAUGUGCAUAAUAUUGGGGUUUUUUUUUCUUUUCUUACUUUUCUUUUAGAAAUGGUAGUCAAGUUUUGUUUGGGUUUUUUAAUAUUACAAGACAUGGUAAAACAUUUUCUUUUUGGAGAAAUAAGCAAGGUAUGGUAACUUUAUUAUUAUUUUUUCUUGAUUGGUCUUUCAAAGAUUAUUAAAUAUGAUUUUAGAAAGAAAAGUGUCUGAUACAAAUAAAUUUUGAAAAUCAGAAGAUCAUAGGUACUGAUAUUAGCAGUGAAAAAUCUGUUGUUUCAAAUAUUCUUUGAUUUGCUAUAUAUGUAAUAGGAAAUCCAGUUAUUUGUCAAACAUUUUUGUGUGUGUUAUUUUUUUGUGUCCAAGUAUUAGUGUUUUUGUUGCCGCUUUGUUAACAAAACUUUUAUUCAUUACAGUUCAUGUGAUUACCAGUUGUUAUCAUUUGUAGCAAGAGUUAAAAACAUUUGAUGUGUGUUUUAUCAGUGCUUAUUCAUGUAAUUCAUUGAAUAAAGAAUAUUAAGUAU
rnacentral:misc_RNA from 1 species